rnacentral:rRNA from 1 species
ACGUAGGUGGCGAGCGUUGUCCGGAAUUACUGGGUGUAAAGGGCGUGUAGGCGGGGAUGUAAGUCGGAUGUGAAAUUCCAGGGCUCAACCCUGGCGCUGCAUCUGAAACUAUAUUUCUUGAGUGCUGGAGAGGAAAGCGGAAUUCCUAGUGUAGCGGUGAAAUGCGUAGAUAUUAGGAGGAACACCAGUGGCGAAGGCGGCUUUCUGGACAGUAACUGACGCUGAGGCGCGAAAGCGUGGGGAGCGAACAGGAUUAGAUACCCUGGUAGUCCACGCUGUAAACGAUGGAUACUAGGUGUAGGAGGUAUCGACCCCUUCUGUGCCGGAGUUAACACAAUAAGUAUCCCACCUGGGGAGUACGGCCGCAAGGUUG